rnacentral:rRNA from 1 species
UUCCGAGGCGCCCGUCGUAGAGCACGGUAAGGUGUGGGUUACACAGCCAAUGUGUAGCUUAAGGGACGUGCCGAAUCCACCGGAGACGGUGGCCGUAUAAAGGUCUGGAGGUGCAAGUGUGCACCUUCUCGACAUUCUACCCGAGUGCCUCCAGCAUGAAGGGAUACGGGCUGAAAGACAAUGUACGCUCUGACGAGCCUGUCAACCGAUAAACCGCCAGUUCUUGGUGGGCUUUCAGCAACAAGGGUUCAGGGGGAUUACGUUAGGAGGACCGACCUCCAGUAACGUACUCUGAAUGAAGGCCCCGAAUUGGCCAGCAGCCGCGGUAAUUCCAGCUCCAAUAGCGUAUAUUAAAGUUGUUGCCGUUAAAAAGCUCGUAGUUGAACCUUGGACCUGGCUGAUCUGUCCUCCUAAUCGAGCGCACGGAUUCGGUCGGGUCUUUCUUCUGGGGAGCCCAUAUGCCCUUUCACUGGGUGUAGUGGGGAACCAGGACUUUUACCUUGAAAAAAUUAGAGUGUUCAAAGCAGGCCUUUGCUCGAAUACAUUAGCAUGGAAUAAUAGAAUAGGACAUCGGUUCUAUUUUGUUGGUUUCUAGGACCGCUGUAAUGAUUAAUAGGGAUAGUCGGGGGCGUCAGUAUUCAAUUGUCAGAGGUGAAAUUCUUGGAUUUAUUGAAGACUAACUACUGCGAAAGCAUUCGCCAAGGAUGUUUUCAUUAAUCAGUGAACGAAAGUUAGGGGAUCGAAGACGAUCAGAUACCGUCGUAGUCUUAACCAUAAACUAUGCCGACUAGGGAUCGGACGGUGGUUUUUUUAUGCCCCGUUCGGCACCUUACGAGAAAUCAAAGUUUUUGGGCUCGGGGGGGAGUAUGGUCGCAAGGCUGAAACUUAAAGAAAUUGACGGAAGGGCACCACCAGGCGUGGAGCCUGCGGCUUAAUUUGACUCAACACGGGGAAACUCACCAGGUCCAGACAUGCUUAGGAUUGACAGAUUGAUAGCUCUUUCUUGAUUGUAUGGGUGGUGGUGCAUGGCCGUUCUUAGUUGGUGGAGUGAUUUGUCUGCUUAAUUGCGAUAACGAACGAGACCUUGACCUGCUAAAUAGCCAGGUUGACUUUUGUCGGCCGCCGGCUUCUUAGAGGGACUUUUGGCUCAAGCCAAUGGAAGUACGAGGCAAUAACAGGUUAACCUUGGAGUUACAUCCAUCACAGGCCUGUCAGAGUGAACCUCGAUAAAUAUAUCACUAGUCAAGCAUUAUUCCUCUUGGUGGAAGUUCCGCCGACAGUCGGGAGAGGAGCAGCCGUGAAGCGGCUGUUAAUGCUGGCGAGACAACCUGGUUCAGGGGACGCUUCUCCAUACCUUUUCGGUGUGGAAUGCCAAUCCUGAGGCGAGCCAAAGUAGCGUUUGGCCGUUGCAACGCGCGCAAAGGUGUCGGCCCUACGCUCGAGAGAGCUGGGGUUUAAGGUACGUGC